GAUCAUGCUCAGGAUGAACGCUAGCUACAGGCUUAACACAUGCAAGUCGAGGGGAAACGAUAUUGGAAGCUUGCUUCCGAUAGGCGUCGACCGGCGCACGGGUGAGUAACGCGUAUCCAACCUGCCCAUCACUUGGGAAUAACCUUGCGAAAGUAAGACUAAUGCCCAAUGACAUUUAUAGAAGGCAUCUGAAAUGAAUUAAAGAUUUAUCGGUGAUGGAUGGGGAUGCGU
rnacentral:rRNA from 1 species